CCGAAGUUUUCGAGCCGGAAAAAGCUUUCUCGGGUGAUGGCUAUUAGGGCUUUUCUUUUAUGAUCUUAAUUCAAGAGUCAUACGUUUGAGAACGAUGCUAUCGACAUUGUUUUCUUUUAUAAAUCGAUCAAAGGAAUUAACAUCAAGAAUCAAAAACGACUGUUUCUAAGAAAGGUCUACUCUUUGUGGAAUUGAGGAUGAAAGCGAUGAAGAGAGAUUGGGGAUUUGAUCUUCACAGGAUUUGGUUAUACCUGAAUGUCUGGAAAAGGGUUUCGGAAUAACUCCUCCGCCACCACUUCCGCAGUUUCGAAACAGAGUUCUUCGCACUCUGUCAUUUCCACGACACAAGCUCAAGUAAUGAACAAAAUGGCUGCUCCUCCUUUGUCUCUUGAUUUUUUUUUCAGCGUAGACCUUUAGGUAAAGAUGAAGCAACAUUACCUAUGCUGAAAGUACUUCAUUGGGAUAAAGUCAGGGCUCACAGCACCGGACUAUGGUCUAUUAUAUGCUUAAUAAAUCUCUUUCGAAUUGGAGGAAGAGAUGAUCGAGUCGCUAUUUGGAUACACAAUGCAAAUCUCCACAAAGAACGAAGAAGGGAAGUGCAACCAUCACCAGGAAAACACUUUCUUGAACCUAAAAGAUUUCAGAACUUUACCAUUUUCUUGAAAGCCCUUAACGCAAGAAGCGAUUAAAUUUGCUCCGCUUUGGGAAAAAGGGAAGGGUUGUGUUUACAGCAACUACAAGUAUUUGUGAAGAUGAUGCCGUCUAAAUAAAGAAGAAGAGUUGAAGCUGUGUAGCUACUAAGGAGUAUUAGAUGAACUUGGCUCUGCUGAGAAAUUUCUCAGAGUGCUUGUGGGAGUACCAUUUGCAUUUCAAAGAUCUGAAAUAAUGCUUUACCGAGAGACGUUUGAAGAAGAAGUGGUUCAUCUCAAAAACUCCUUCUCAAUGCUUAAGGUGAUUAAUACAGAAAUUACUUAAUUAGGAAGGUUGCAAGGAGCUUAAGUCAAGCAGGUUAUUCCUGAAGCUUUUAGAAGCUGUCUUUAAAACUUGGAACAAGAUAAAUUUUGUAGGGUGAUAUAAAAAUAUAAAAUUUGUGUGAAUUAAAUUAGUGUUCCAGUUGAAAAAUAUGUUUGAUUAAAAUCACAUAUUAUAAUAGAAAAUAAUGAUGACGUAGAAUGUUAGUCCACGUCUGAGCAAUGUUUUAAAACCAGAUCCGAAUGUUUUAAAACCAGAUUCAGAUGCUGAAUCAGAUGACCUUUCGGGUUAUCGGAUCGAUCACGGAUGAACCUCAAAUUAAUAAAAUAAUUAAUUUUAUUAUAUAUAAUAAUAUAUUAGCUACAAAAUAAAAACAUAGAACUACACUAAGCAUUUUCAAAUAUUUUUAUAA